rnacentral:rRNA from 1 species
GAUGAACGCUGGCGGCGUGCCUAAUACAUGCAAGUCGAGCGAAUGGAUUAAGAGCUUGCUCUUAUGAAGUUAGCGGCGGACGGGUGAGUAACACGUGGGUAACCUGCCCAUAAGACUGGGAUAACUCCGGGAAACCGGGGCUAAUACCGGAUAACAUUUUGAACCGCAUGGUUCGAAAUUGAAAGGCGGCUUCGGCUGGCACUUAUGGAUGGACCCGCGUCGCAUUAGAUAGUUGGUGAGGUAACGGCUCACCAAGGCAACGAUGCGUAGCCGACCUGAGAGGGUGAUCGGCCACACUGGGACUGAGACACGGCCCAGACUCCUACGGGAGGCAGCAGUAGGGAAUCUUCCGCAAUGGACGAAAGUCUGACGGAGCAACGCCGCGUGAGUGAUGAAGGCUUUCGGGUCGUAAAACUCUGUUGUUAGGGAAGAACAAGUGCUAGUUGAAUAAGCUGACACCUUGACGGUACCUAACCAGAAAGCCACGGCUAACUACGUGCCAGCAGCCGCGGUAA